rnacentral:rRNA from 1 species
CGCAAGCCUGACGGAGCAAGACCGCGUGCGGGAUGACGGCCUAAUGGUUGUAAACCGCUUUUCUCUGGGAAGAUGAUGACGGUACCAGAGGAAUCAGCCUCGGCUAACUCCGUGCCAGCAGCCGCGGUAAUACGGAGGAGGCAAGCGUUAUCCGGAAUUAUUGGGCGUAAAGCGUCCGUAGGUGGUGAAUCAAGUCUGCUGUCAAAGCGUGGGGCUUAACUCCAUAGAGGCAGUGGAAACUGGAUGACUUGAGUGCGGUAGGGGUCGAGGGAAUUCCCAGUGUAGCGGUGAAAUGCGUAGAUAUUGGGAAGAACACCAGUGGCGAAAGCGCUCGACUGGGCCUGCACUGACACUGAGGGACGAAAGCUAGGGGAGCG